rnacentral:rRNA from 1 species
UACGGAGGGUGCAAGCGUUAUCCGGAUUCACUGGGUUUAAAGGGUGCGUAGGUGGGCAGGUAAGUCAGUGGUGAAAUCUCUAAGCUUAACUUAGAAACUGCCGUUGAUACUAUCUGUCUUGAAUGUUGUGGAGGUGAGCGGAAUAUGUCAUGUAGCGGUGAAAUGCUUAGAUAUGACAUAGAACACCAAUUGCGAAGGCAGCUCACUACACAAAUAUUGACGCUGAGGCACGAAAGCGUGGGGAUCAAACAGG